AAUAAGUGCAGCCGUAGAUAUUCGUGCCCAACGUUUGAUCGUCCGUCUUAUUUAAAAAAUUUAUGAAAAUUUUGAAAAUAUUUAGUCACACAUAAAGUACUAUUCACGUUUUAUCAUCUAAUAGCAAUAAAAAUAGUAAUCAUAAAAAAAAUUAAAUAAGAUGAAUGGUCAAACGUUGAAUGUGAUAGUGUAAAACUGCACUUAUU
rnacentral:pre_miRNA from 1 species